UGAAAGCGCACAAUAAUGUCGCGCGGAACUUCUGCCCCCAACCUAGGUGGCUUGGGUAGGCGGUGGGCCCUGUCCACUUCCCAGGAGAGUGCGGGAUCGGGGACCAACGCAGCACUUAUUGCUUUUAUGUAGGCUGGAAUCUGGUCUGCUGUGGUGGAUUCCGCCACCCCCCGAAAUCUUACAUUAUUCCGGCGGGAACGAUCCUCCAUGUCCGCCAUCUUGUGCCACAGUUUAGUAUUAUCGUCUUCUAGUUUCUUUAAUUUGUCUGCCAAUUCAUUGUGUGCUGAGCACAGGUCUUCUGUC